UAUGUUUAAAGUGAAUUUCCUGUAUUUCAAUUUGUGCCUAUUGAUUCUUGUCCUGUCAAAUGGUGCUACUGAGAAGAGUCCGGCUCUGUCUUCUUAACUCCCUCCCAUCUGGUGUUUAUAUGCAUUGACAACAUCCCCUCUGAGCUUUCUCUUUCAUUCUUCUUAAAAUUCAGAUUCUCUUCUUUUGCAUUUCAAAAAAUGCACUAACCUAAAGAAGAAUUAUAGAAGUAUGUAGCCUAAAUAGUUACACACUUUUGACAAAAGCAAGGUAAUGCUGACUGGAACUGUCCACUGGAAGGAUGCGUUAACUUUUACGUUUGACCAUCCAAGAGGAAAAACAAAGUUUUCAGACAGUUUAGUGUACAUAUGGAUAGCUCCCAGAGAAGUUCUGGUUGUAGUGCCACCAUAUAAAGAUGCAGGAAAAUUUGUGAUGUAAGAGAAAUGGAAACUGUCUUAAUUUUUGCAGAAACAAAGAUGAAUCAGAAAGAACAUACUGGAAAUAAACAGAAUAGUAGAUUAUAUAGAGAAAGUAAAAUUGAUUGCUGCUAUAUGAGAACAAAGGUCAUUAAGGCAUGCAGUAAAUCAUUUACAGUUGAGGAAAGAAAAUACUUGUACCACAGUUAGUGAAUGGAACUCACUGCUACAAGAUAUCACAAAGAUUAAAACAGGAUUUUAAAAGGAGUAAAAUUUUUUUCUCUAUAAAACAUGAGCAUCUGUUUAUUAAAUCAGUACAAUAAUGAACCAGGUUAUUUAAUUUGUAUACUCUAGAGCUUGUCAAAAAAUCUGACAACUUUUUUGGUCAGAGAAUAGAGUUAUGUUGGAAGAAAGGAAAAUUUUUUUUAUGUCAAAAUAUAUCAUUCCAACAUUCUUAUAUGAAUUAUUUAAUAAUACCUGUUUUGAUAUGAUUUUUCAGAGGAAAUAUUUUUAUUUGGUAUUAUAUGUUGAGUCAAUUUUGAAUUACAGUUUGAUUUCUCUAAAAUUGUUUUGUCCUUAGAAUUUGCCUGACAUAGAAGUGUUGACAUUUGAGGGAGUGGGUUUCUAUUCACAAAACCAAUCAUUAAAAAAUCCUCCACAAAACAUCCUCUGCGCUACUGUUUGCUGGUGGAAUUCCUUUCUGAAGUGUCCGAUGCAGUUUGUUGUCAGCCAGAGCAUUGAAUAAGUCUUGCCUCUACGGGUGAAUGCAUCAAGCACAGAGCAUGUUCACGGAAGCCCACAGAACUUCCUGAGACACUAUUAUUUAUGUAGACCUACUGUAGGAGGUUGUAAGCUCUCUUGUAGGCCUAUAUCUUGUCCACUUUGGGGGAGUCUCAGUUUAAAAAUCUUGUGUUUGUCACCAUAGGGCUUCCUAUGGGCCACAAAGUGUGGAUAUGUUGCUAGGAUGUAUGGAAAAGUGCAUACAGCUUUUUAGAAAGGGCUAUCAGCAACUCAGAAACUUCCUUCUAGAAGCUGUGAGAUGUGCUGGUGCCUCCCUCCUCAUCAAUAUAUCACACUUAAGGCAGAUUUUUUAGACGAAACUGGCAUGAACUAUGACUUUCCAUCACGAAAAUACCCAAACAAUGAGUGUGUCUCAAUUCUUCUAACUUCCACCAUCUUCUGGCACAGCUCCAACAUUAUUCCUCAAGUAGUCAUUUUUGAAAGAUGGAAGGUUUUAUUUGACUGAGAAAACUGAACAAUAUCAUAGUUGAGAUAUGUGAGAUAGGAUGUAAAAUCAGGGGUUCUAUGAUUCCAGUCCUAACUCUAAAUGCAUUUUUGGAGCGAUGUGGAACAGGUUGUUUACGUCUCCCAGGGGCACUAUCAAGUUUCAGCUAUUCAUAUUUGUAAAGUGCUUUAAGCUCUUCAACUGGAAAAUAUAUAUUUUUCAGUAUUUUAGGAGGAUGAAGUUCUGCAGAUGGAGUUAAUCUUUCAAAUUCUAUUCAUUUUUGAAUCUCAAAGGUUUAUUGUUUCAGUGAUCCAGAAACCACAUAUUUGAGUGAUGAUUUCAUACGUUCCAUAUCAUAUUCUUUCAUGUAAACAUCAUCAUAAUACUUUUCUUAGAAGACUCAAAGGGGUUUUACAGACCUUGACAAAGUCUCAUACAGUACUCAUGUUCCAAAUAUAACUAGUUCUACCAUGUCUACAAGGAAGGGGGAUCAAAGAGGUUAAAUGUCACCCGGCAAGUCAACUAAGGAUUUGAAUGAGAACCUGUUUCUCCUGAUUCCACAUCCUGUUGUGUUGGUGGGUUGUGGUGUGUGUUUUGUUACUGAGCGCAGCCACGUUCAUCUGGAAUGUCCUCAGAAAUACCCAAACCCCCUGGGUAUUCACUAAAGGCUUUUCCAGCUUCUGGACAGACCAGGAAUGUAAUGAGAAUAGUAGCUAAACAUUUCCAGGGCUUCUAAAUACAGAUGGAUGGCAAAAUAAACAAUGAGAAUGGAAUUAUCCAAAUGUUUAUUAUUUUCUUGUUGUAAAGGACUACUAAAUCCUGUAACUUGAAUUUUUGCUUAGCAGAGGCUUUCUCAUUGCCCAAAUAUCACAUCUCAGUCUCAAAUACUGAGUCCAAAUAAACAUCCUCCAACAGUUGUUCUGUGAGCAGCAGAAAACCAGAUCUCAUUUUUACAUGGAUUUGUGUCUUACUGUCUAACUUCUCCCUUGCAAUAACCCCAGCUGCCCUGUUCCUGCUGACCUUCCCUUCCCUGCUGACCUCUGCUUCUGCAGAGUCCCUGUCUGUGGCAGUCCGGGCCAGAGGGAGCCGAAGCCGGGAGGCAUAUGGAGCUGGUGUGAGGACGAACAAACUGGCCGCUGCUGCACAGACCACAUAACUGCGGACUUCCACUUGCGUUGGCUCACUCGCUCUGUCUGGCCAUGGAUUGCCACGAAACCUGUAAGAACUGAAUUUUCCUGGAGACCUACUGCUUUUUCAAUUGUGGCUGAAAUUGGCUGAGAGCUCCUAAAGAUAUGAGAAGGAGGGAGGGGAUGAGAAAGACAAACAAUUAAAUUGAGUAAGUGUUGUUUCCUUAGGGAACUUGGGCUAAUCAACUAAAAUGGGUGCCAGAGGGGAAAAAAGAAGAAAAAUCAAGAUAUAAUUGGAGUCCAAAGCCCUUGCUCAAGCACACAUAGAGGGUGAACACAGACACAAAGAUCUUUUAUGGCCCCUGGGCCAGUGUCUGGAAUAGGGAGAGAAAAGUGAUGGAUGUUUAAAGAUGUAGCCAGCAUAGACAGUAAACCAGUUAUGUUCCUUUUUAAAUGCAUAACCACUGUGAGUGUACUGUGGGAAAGCAUUAAAAUGCCAUCCUUUUUACUCUUAAGAAUAAAUGGCAUGUUUAAAAUUAAACUGAACAAAAUAAUAAUAGAUACUCAGCAUGGAAAGACCCUAAAUUGACCAAUGCAUUGAGACAGUGACCAAGCAGGUCUUUUUCUUUUGUAGAGAUUAAGUCAUAUCUGCUGGAAAAUACAUCAUAGCUUAAUUAAGUGCCCAUAUAUUAGUGCCUUUACUUUCUGACUCACUAAAUGCUGAGUUAACCUUUAUACAGCAUUUUGAGGAUAUAUAGGAAAACAUUUGUAUUGAUUCUAUUUGCUCUGAUGCAACUAAUACUUGAGUGUAAUGGAUGAAGCCUGUGUAAAAUUUAGAAAAAUCAAACAUUCAAGGUGAAUGAUGUAAUAAAAAAUAUAUUAAGGCAGAUGCCAAAAGAGCCGGAGCAGUCGUUCAGCCACUAGAGGGCAAAAUCAUUACAUUGCAAUCGUUGCUGGAGGUCUACUGGUAUCUUUGGCAGGGUAUAAUCAAAGGGUUGUUUUUUACAACAGAAGCUGAUUAAAGGGUCAUUAAGCACUCCUCUAGCAGUUAUGGUAAUGAAUAUUUAGAGUACUGUCUCUUUGGGAGGGUGGUAUCUAAGCAGUUGCUCGUAACUGUGUUGAAAAAAGUCAACGUUUUGUUCACAGCCCCGCAGAAUAAAAGCUUCAGUCAUCUGCGAGGUUUGGACCAUGGGUUCACAGCAGAGGCCUUUUCCACGCAAGCUGGUGGGUGUCAGUAGAAGGCUGAGCACAUGGAUCAGGCGCUAGCCUGGGAAUGCCAUGGACAUUUUGCUGGGAGGUUUCAUAGUUGUUUGAUGACACUGUAUCAGUCCAAAGACUCCACAGUGUUUUCACCAAUUUCAGGUUCGGGAGAGGUUCAGAGCCCUGUGUGCGAUCUACUUAUGUCUCUAACUUUUUGGCAUCAAGGGUUGCUGCUCCUGUUUCCUUUUGUACUUGUCCUCUCCUAUACUUAGGCCUAUAUAUUGCACAGGAUCCAUUUUCUGCUCCCACCCAAACUCCCACUCCACUGGUGGAGCAGGGGUGGGUCAGCUUUGGUAUGGAUCAGAGAGGCUGCUUGUCACGGGAAGGAUCAGCAUCCUGCCUCUGACAGUGGCCAGAAGGAGAUGCCAAGGAAAGAGUUUAAUAACAGGAUAAUCAUAGAGUGACACUUGCCAGGAAUAAUCUCCCAGCUUCCAGAAAAUGUAUGUCUCAGGGACUUCUUACAUGAGAAGCAUUCUCUUUGUAUUUAAUAAACCUGAAAGAAUUUGCCUUCUGCGAACAAGUCCACCCAUCCUUUCAACCCAUGCAGACUUUGUCACCCACACGGCUGUUCCCAUCAUGUGCUCAAGGGCGCAUGAUCUGCAUCAAGUGAUGCUGAAGGGGAUGACAUGUUACUUAGCUCCCAAGGAAAUCUAAUUCUGCAUAGAUUAGUAACCACAAUUGUGAUCACAUUCUUAGAUCUCACGGGUAACAGACUCACAAGACUUACCACCUGCUUGUGUUAAAACCUAAUUUAAAAAACAUCUACUUUGGAUUUUGACAUUCCCAGUGCUGGGAAAUCUAACCUCUUCCUCCCUAAGGUGUCUCAGUGAUUAAUUACCUUCACUGAGAAAAGACCUCACUGAAGCUGAACUUGUCUGGUGUUAGUGCACAGUCACUGAAUUUUCUCCUAUUAUGGAAUUAAGGAAUUUGGAUACCAGAUUUCAGGAGCAGUUGGACUAAUGCCAGUCUUUGGGCUUUAAGUCCAGGUGUCCGGCACCAGAGCUGCCCAGAGCAGCAGUGUGAGAGGUCUUGCUGAGUUCCUGCUCCCCCUGGUAUGUCAUCGUCAUUGGGAAUGAGUCACAAGGGGCCCAAGAGGCACAGAGAUACCAAGAGGGGACAGAGCACGAGACCGUGUCCCAUCACCCUGACUCACAGGGAUGUUCCCCACGGCUCCCAGCUGCAUUUUCCAAACUUUCAUGAGAUGACCUUCUUGCAAAACAACCAGCUAUGAUAUCCUUCAGGUAAAAGCUCUCAGUGUUUGGGGAAAAAACUCUGGUGAAUGUCUGUGCAGACAGAUUAAAGUAGGACAAAAUUAUGGUAGUGAUGUGACUCUGUGAGACAUAAGGAGAUGAGAAACCUACGUGCUUGUAUGCUUUUGGCUAGAGGGUACAAAGUGUUGCAUUGCUUAGCCUUUAUUUUCUUUCCUUUUUGUUUGUCAGGCAUAAUGUGUGUUUAGCAGUCGGAGCUGUUUCAUGAGAAUUGUGUCGAGGAUAUUAAUUGUGUAUUGGACUGAAUCAGAACUCCUCAUCUGUGCUUUGUAAACAUGACACCACUAAUUACUAAAGAGACAGCAAGCUGGUGUUAGCUGGGAAUGCUUUAUGGGAGAAAA